GGGCGGGUUGCUGAGCGGACAAAAGCGGCUGACUGUAGAUCAGCUGGCCCUGUGCCUUCGGAGGUUCGAAUCCUUCCCCGCCCACCA
rnacentral:tRNA from 1 species